rnacentral:rRNA from 1 species
CACGUAGGGCGCGAGCGUUGUCCGGAAUUAUUGGGCGUAAAGAGCUCGUAGGCGGCCUGUUGCGUCCGCUGUGAAAGCCCGGGGCUUAACCCCGGGUCUGCAGUGGAUACGGGCAGGCUAGAGGUAGGUAGGGGAGAAUGGAAUUCCCGGUGUAGCGGUGAAAUGCGCAGAUAUCAGGAGGAACACCGGUGGCGAAGGCGGGUCUCUGGGCCGAUAUUGACGCUGAGGAGCGAAAGCGUGGGGAGCGAACAGG